UUUAUGAUUAUAUUUUUCUUUGGGACGAGGAUCUUGGAGUAGAGAACUUCAAUCCAGAGAGGUAUUUGAAUAUAGUUAAAUCAGUGGGACUGGAGAUAUCUCAACCUGCUUUGGACCAUAACUC